rnacentral:rRNA from 1 species
CCUACGGGUGGCUGCAGUGGGGGAUAUUGGACAAUGGGGGAAACCCUGAUCCAGCGACGCCGCGUGAGGGAAGAAGUCUUUCGGGAUGUAAAGCUCUAUUAGCAGGGAAGAAAGAAAUGACGGUACCUGACUAAUAAGCCCCGGCUAACUACGUGCCAGCAGCCGCGGUAAUACGUAGGGGGCAAGCGUUAUCCGGAAUUACUGGGUGUAAAGGGAGGGUAGGCGGGAAUGCAAGUCUGGAGUGAAAGGCGGGGGCCCACCCCCCGGCCUGCUCUGGAAACUGUGGAACUGGAGUGCAGGAGAGGCAGGCGGAAUUCCUAGUGUAGCGGUGAAAUGCGUAGAUAUUAGGAGGAACACCAGUGGCGAAGGCGGCCUGCUGGACUGUAACUGACGUUGAGGCUCGAAAGCGUGGGGAGCAAACAGGAUUAGAUACCCGAGUAGUC